AAAACAUCACCUGAAAACAUACCUGAAAUGAGCAUCUAAAAUUACAAAAAUUGGAGACAGACAAUAUCUGGAGAAUGUGAUGCACCAGCCAUACGAAAAAUGAGAGAUUUUAUUUAUCCAGUUAUCAGCCCUAUGUGAAUCAUCAGCACAUCAUGGCAGAGUUAAGCGUGUCAGCUGGUUCUUCAGGAUGAGUGUGCCUGGGCCGUGGAGGGGAGAAAAGAGUGAGACAGACAAUAUCUGGAGAAUGUGAUGCACCAGCCAUAUGAAAAAUGAGAGAUUUUAUUUAUCCAGGCGCAUCAUGGUGGAGCAGGAGAUGUUAUCAAGAUGUGUUUGUCCUCAAGAUAAGUCAAGCUCUCUUUCACCUUGUCCAAAUGUCAGCUGAGAAUUACAGCGCAAUGACAGGAGUCUUAAAUUGAUCCAGGAAAAAAAGGUGCCAUUACAGAGCUUCUCGGCCAAUCCGUAAUAGUUCCUUUAUUA